GCCGCNCCCCACCCAGAUCCUGUCUCCGGCCGGCCAGCCUGGGGGACAGAGGCGGCGGCCAGGGCCCGGGGAAGCCAGGUGUGCGGGCGGGAGGGCCGGCCGAGCAGCGACAGAGGCGGAGCCGCCCCGCCCGACCGCGCACCGCAGCGGCGCGGGGCCCGCGGCCCGAAGCCCUUCCGGCCCGAGCUGCGCAGCGCCGCCGCCGCCUCGGAGGCCUGCAGGAUGGUCUGGCGCUCCUCGGGCGCGGAGUCCGCAGACAAGGGAUGCGCCUGCAGGACGUGCGGCUGGAUGGCCCUGACCUUGAGCGUGGCCAGCGCGGCUCCGCGCACCGUGCCCACCGGGCCGCGCCCGCUGCAUCCUUAGUGCGUCAGGGACUGCUGACAUUCAGGGACGUGGCCAUAGAAUUCUCCCAGGAGGAGUGGCGAUGCCUGAGCCACACGCAGCGGGAACUGUACAGGGACGUGAUGCUGGAGAACUACGGACACCUCCUGUUCUUGGGUCUCAUUGCAUCAAAGCCAGACCUAGUCUCCUGUUUAGAGCAAAAGAAGGAGCCUUGGGAUCUGAAGAGAAAGAAGACAGUAGCCAUCCACCCAGCCACAUCUUCACAUGACAUCCAGAGCUUCAUGCCAAAGCCGAGCAUAGAAGCUUCUUUCCAAAAAGUGUCAAUGGGUAGACACAAAAAUAGUGACGUUGAGGAUUUACACUUAAUGAUAGACCGGGACAAUGAUGGGAAGAGUGAAGGGUAUCAAAGAUGUCAUGAAGGACAUAUCCAAACUCAGACAACUGCCCAUAAUAAGAAUCUCACUGUCCCAAAUGGUGAAGGACAUAAAACAUUUUGGAAAACCUCCCUUUUUAAGUCAGCUGUUUCCAAAAACCAGUGUGAUUCUGCAAGUAAAAUCUCAAAGCAAAUAUGCAAACAUAAAUAUUUAGGGAAAGACAAUCUGGAAAAUCUAGAGAGUUACCUAGUCCGUGCUGAAAAUAAUUAUUUGAACCAUUCCGAAAAAAGGGUUGGAUUGACUGUUCAGUCAAAUAUUUCCGAAAAUCAGAGAUUUAAAACUGAAGAACAAAGUGCUAAGAGGGCUCCACUGGAGAGGUGCUUCACCAAGGAGUUGACCCCACAGAGUGACCAGAGUAUUUUCAAUGGUGACAGAAUUGCUCAAUGCACUGAAUCUGAGGAAACACUUAACCAAAGCUCAAAUGUUAAUAAACAUCGGAGGGCUCAUUUUCCAGGAAACCAUUAUGAAUGUGAUAAAUGUGGGGAAGUCUUUUAUCAAAACUCUAACCUUAUUACAAAUAAGAGUAUGAAUAUGGGAGAGAAUCCUUACCAUGAAUGUGUGAAUGCUCUUAACCAGUCCUCCAAUGUCGGUGAUCAUCAGAGAAUUCGUGUGGGGAAAAACCCAUUUGGAUGUAAAAAACCUGGGAACAUGUUUAGUCAGUCAUCAAGACUGAAUAUACCUAAGACAAUCCAUACUGGAGAGAAAAGUUACAUUUUUAAGGAAUGUGGCAAAGACUUUGACUGGCACUCAUCACUACCUCCACAGCAGGGGGUUCAUACUGGAGAGAAACUGUACAGGUGUGAAGAAUGCGGUAAAACCUUUAAGGUCUGCUCAUCAAUAAAUAGACAUAGGCGAAUUCAUACUGGAGAGAAACCUUACAAAUGUGAAGAAUGUGGCAAGGCCUUUAACCAGCAGUCAAGCCUUACCGAACAUCACCGAAUUCAUAAUGGAGAGAAACCUUACAAAUGUGAAGAAUGUGGCAAGGCCUUUACCCAGCGCUCACACCUUAUUAGUCAUCACAGAAUCCAUACUGGAGAGAAACCUUACAAAUGUAAAGAAUGUGGCAAGGCCUUUAACCACCACUCAGGCCUUACUCAACAUCAGAGAAUCCAUACUGGAGAGAAACCGUAUAAAUGUAAAGAAUGUGGCAAGGCCUUCAACCAUGACUCAAGCCUCACUCAGCAUCACAGAAUUCACACUGGCGAGAAACCCUACAAAUGUAAAGACUGUGGGAAGGCCUUUAGCCAGCGCUCACACCUUAUUAGUCAUCACAGAAUUCAUAUUAGAGAUAAACCUUACAAAUGUAAAGAAUGUGGCAAGGCUUUUAGCCAGCACUCACACCUUAUUCGACAUCAUAGAAUUCAUACUGGAGAGAAACCCUACAAAUGUGAAGAAUGUGGUAAGGCCUUUAAUAGGCUUUCAUAUCUUACUCAACAUCACAUAAUUCAUACGGGAGAGAAACCUUACCAAUGUAAAGAAUGUGGCAAAGCCUUCAACCAGCACUCAAGCCUUUUUCACCAUAACAGAAUCCAUACUGGAGAGAAACCUUAUGUAUGUAAAGAAUGUGGCAAGUCCUUUAAACAUGACUCUACGCUUACUCAGCAUCACAGAAUUCAUACUGGAGAGAAACCUUACAAAUGUAAAGAAUGUAGCAAGGCCUUUAUCCAGCACUCACAACUUAUUAGUCAUCAGAGAAUUCAUACUGGAGAGAAACCUUACAAAUGUAAAGAAUGUGGCAAGGCCUUUAACCACAACUCAAGCCUUACUUACCAUCACAGAAUUCAUACUGGAGAGAAACCUUAUAAAUGUAAAGAAUGUGGCAAAGCCUUCAGCCAGCACUCAAAGCUUACUCGACAUCACAGAGUUCAUACUGGAGAGAAACCUUAUAAAUGUAAAGCAUGUGGCAAAGCCUUUAAACAGCACUCACACCUUACUAGUCAUCACAGAAUUCAUACUAGAGAGAAACCUUAACAAAUGUGGAGAAUGUGGCAAGGCCUUUAACCGGCACUCAAGACUUACUCAACGUCACAGAAUUCAUACUGGAGAGAAACCUUACCAGUGUAAAGAAUGUGAGAAGGCCUUUAAUCACUCUUCAACCUUUACUCAUUAUC